rnacentral:rRNA from 1 species
GUAGCAAGGUUAACCGAAUAGGGGAGCCGAAGGGAAACCGAGUCUUAACUGGGCGUUAAGUUGCAGGGUAUAGACCCGAAACCCGGUGAUCUAGCCAUGGGCAGGUUGAAGGUUGGGUAACACUAACUGGAGGACCGAACCGACUAAUGUUGAAAAAUUAGCGGAUGACUUGUGGCUGGGGGUGAAAGGCCAAUCAAACCGGGAGAUAGCUGGUUCUCCCCGAAAGCUAUUUAGGUAGCGCCUCGUGAAUUCAUCUCCGGGGGUAGAGCACUGUUUCGGCAAGGGGGUCAUCCCGACUUACCAACCCGAUGCAAACUGCGAAUACCGGAGAAUGUUAUCACGGGAGACACACGGCGGGUGCUAACGUCCGUCGUGAAGAGGGAAACAACCCAGACCGCCAGCUAAGGUCCCAAAGUCAUGGUUAAGUGGGAAACGAUGUGGGAAGGCCCAGACAGCCAGGAUGUUGGCUUAGAAGCAGCCAUCAUUUAAAGAAAGCGUAAUAGCUCACUGGUCGAGUCGGCCUGCGCGGAAGAUGUAACGGGGCUAAACCAUGCACCGAAGCUGCGGCAGCGACACUGUGUGUUGUUGGGUAGGGGAGCGUUCUGUAAGCCUGUGAAGGUGUACUGUAAGGUAUGCUGGAGGUAUCAGAAGUGCGAAUGCUGACAUAAGUAACGAUAAAGCGGGUGAAAAGCCCGCUCGCCGGAAGACCAAGGGUUCCUGUCCAACGUUAAUCGGGGCAGGGUGAGUCGACCCCUAAGGCGAGGCCGAAAGGCGUAGUCGAUGGGAAACAGGUUAAUAUUCCUGUACUUGGUGUUACUGCGAAGGGGGGACGGAGAAGGCUAUGUUGGCCGGGCGACGGUUGUCCCGGUUUAAGCGUGUAGGCUGGUUUUCCAGGCAAAUCCGGAAAAUCAAGGCUGAGGCGUGAUGACGAGGCACUACGGUGCUGAAGCAACAAAUGCCCUGCUUCCAGGAAAAGCCUCUAAGCAUCAGGUAACAUCAAAUCGUACCCCAAACCGACACAGGUGGUCAGGUAGAGAAUACCAAGGCGCUUGAGAGAACUCGGGUGAAGGAACUAGGCAAAAUGGUGCCGUAACUUCGGGAGAAGGCACGCUGAUAUGUAGGUGAAGUCCCUCGCGGAUGGAGCUGAAAUCAGUCGAAGAUACCAGCUGGCUGCAACUGUUUAUUAAAAACACAGCACUGUGCAAACACGAAAGUGGACGUAUACGGUGUGACGCCUGCCCGGUGCCGGAAGGUUAAUUGAUGGGGUCAGCGCAAGCGAAGCUCUUGAUCGAAGCCCCGGUAAACGGCGGCCGUAACUAUAACGGUCCUAAGGUAGCGAAAUUCCUUGUCGGGUAAGUUCCGACCUGCACGAAUGGCGUAAUGAUGGCCAGGCUGUCUCCACCCGAGACUCAGUGAAAUUGAACUCGCUGUGAAGAUGCAGUGUACCCGCGGCAAGACGGAAAGACCCCGUGAACCUUUACUAUAGCUUGACACUGAACAUUGAGCCUUGAUGUGUAGGAUAGGUGGGAGGCUUUGAAGUGUGGACGCCAGUCUGCAUGGAGCCGACCUUGAAAUACCACCCUUUAAUGUUUGAUGUUCUAACGUGGACCCGUGAUCCGGGUUGCGGACAGUGUCUGGUGGGUAGUUUGACUGGGGCGGUCUCCUCCUAAAGAGUAACGGAGGAGCACGAAGGUUGGCUAAUCCUGGUCGGACAUCAGGAGGUUAGUGCAAUGGCAUAAGCCAGCUUGACUGCGAGCGUGACGGCGCGAGCAGGUGCGAAAGCAGGUCAUAGUGAUCCGGUGGUUCUGAAUGGAAGGGCCAUCGCUCAACGGAUAAAAGGUACUCCGGGGAUAACAGGCUGAUACCGCCCAAGAGUUCAUAUCGACGGCGGUGUUUGGCACCUCGAUGUCGGCUCAUCACAUCCUGGGGCUGAAGUAGGUCCCAAGGGUAUGGCUGUUCGCCAUUUAAAGUGGUACGCGAGCUGGGUUUAGAACGUCGUGAGACAGUUCGGUCCCUAUCUGCCGUGGGCGCUGGAGAACUGAGGGGGGCUGCUCCUAGUACGAGAGGACCGGAGUGGACGCAUCACUGGUGUUCGGGUUGUCAUGCCAAUGGCACUGCCCGGUAGCUAAAUGCGGAAGAGAUAAGUGCUGAAAGCAUCUAAGCACGAAACUUGCCCCGAGAUGAGUUCUCCCUGACCCUUUAAGGGUCCUGAAGGAACGUUGAAGACGACGACGUUGAUAGGCCGGGUGUGUAAGCGCAGCGAUGCGUUGAGCUAACCGGUACUAAUGAACCGUGAGGCUUAACCUUACAACGCCGAAGGUGUUU